rnacentral:rRNA from 2 species
UACGUAGGUGGCGAGCGUUGUCCGGAUUUACUGGGCGUAAAGGAUGCGUAGGUGGAAACUUAAGUGGGAUGUGAAAUCCCCGGGCUCAACCCGGGAACUGCAUUCCAAACUGGGUUACUUGAGUGCAGGAGAGGAAAGCGGAAUUCCUAGUGUAGCGGUGAAAUGCGUAGAUAUUAGGAAGAACACCAGUGGCGAAGGCGGCUUUCUGGACUGUAACUGACACUGAGGCAUGAAAGCGUGGGGAGCAAAC